rnacentral:rRNA from 1 species
GACGAACGCUGGCGGCGUGCUUAACACAUGCAAGUGGAGCGACGAACCGGGCUUCGGCCCGGGGCAAAGCCGCGAACGGGUGAGUAUCACGUGGGUAACCUGCCCCGAUGACCGGGAUAACCCGAGGAAACUCGGGCUAAUACCGGAUGUGCUCGCCGCACAUCAGUGCGGUGAGAAAAGGAAGCCUCGGCCUCCGCAUUGGGACGGGCCCGCGGCCCAUUAGCUUGUUGGUGAGGUAAUGGCUCACCAAGGCUGCGAUGGGUAGCUGGUCUGAGAGGACGAUCAGCCACACUGGGACUGAGACACGGCCCAGACUCCUACGGGAGGCAGCAGUGGGGAAUCUUGCGCAAUGCGCGAAAGCGUGACGCAGCAACGCCGCGUGAGGGAAGAAGGCCUUCGGGUUGUAAACCUCUUUCAGGAGGGACGAAGGUUCAGGCGCGAAUAGCGUCCUGUACUGACGGUACCUCCAGAAGAAGGCCCGGCUAACUACGUGCCAGCCGCCGCGGUAAAAC